rnacentral:lncRNA from 1 species
UGCAAGUCACAAUCGCAUCUGUAAUUCUGUAUUCGUCGUUUCAACAACAACAACCACCACCAGUUAGUUCGUUGAAGUAGGCUAAAAUUAAAAAAACACAGAACCCACGAGUCAAAGAUUUAUUUCGACAUGAUGGUGGGGAGGUGACUCACCAGGUGGCUAGCAAGGAUGACGUUGGCGCCCUUCUCGAGGAGGCGCGGAUGCGGUCCGAUGUCGUCGGUUAUCUUCUGGCCGUCAUCGAGUCGAGGUCAGCGCGACAGCCUUCUUCCUCUUCAGAUCCGACCCCGAGGGUGCCCACGCAGCCACGCUCACUCCCCUGCACGCAGCAGGCAGCACCACCUGGGAGGGAGAUUUUUGGAUCCCUGGAGGUCGACAGCUUUGAAAAUUUGUUAUCUUCGACACAGCAACCAGUAGCUGACGCGCAUCCUGCACGUGAGGUUAAGACGUUUGAUAGUGAGAAAGGUGAGUUUUCAGUUUACAAAUAAUUAUAGGGAUAGGUUGUUCUUGCAAUUCAAUAUAUGUGAAUAAGGUGGUUUUUGGAUACUUUUCUGCAUUUAGUCCAUUUAGAGCAACUCUAAGAGAAAGCUAAAAAUAUCCCCCAAAAAUAAUUAUUAGAGGAAGGCUAAAAAAAUUUAGAGGUAAAUUAUAGUGUAUACAGUACUCCAACAGUUUCUUAAACAAAUGCUGAAAACUCCAAUCUGGCCCAAGAUGCAAGGCGUUUAUUUUCCUGCUAUUGAAUCAACAUGCGCAUACUACUAGACCAUUCCAGUUGCAGUCGAACAAUUGAACUGAAAAUAAUUGAAACAACUAAAGCUAACUAGCUACGAUAAUCUGGAUCCUAGAAAACGUUUCCAAGUAAAAAUGCUACGAACCAGCACAGGAGGAAGUGAGAAAAAAACAUGUAUACACGGUAGUCCAGGAAUUUAAGUGUGCCAUGGCUACGCCAGCCUCUGAAGUCUGAAUCAUAGAACAGGGGUAAAUUUUUGGACCUUGCUAGAAACUAUAAACAGACAAUUAUGGCUUCAAACAACUGUCGUCAGUCCCUGAUCGAGGCACACAAACUGUAAAAGAUAAACAUACGAUUGAUCGAGAUAUCCAUUAUGAACAUUGUGUGACAUGCUAGUAAUAUUAACAUCUCAAGCAACGACCAUGUAGCUAGUUUCUAACACAAAUGAAAGACAAAAGAUCUUUGGAUAAAGGCAUGUCGGCCUACUACUUGUCCAACUUCCUAGUUCAUGAAAACAAGUCAGUCUCCUACCAAUUCAUCUUCCCAGCACAUGAAGACACAUAAAAAAAACAUGUAGACAUAGCAGCAGAAUGGCCCUACUAUCAGAAACUGAGAUAGCAGGCUGUGCCAUGAACCAUUCAUUACUCCCCACCAGACUGUGUAGAAUAUCCCAUCCACCUCCUACAAGCAACUGCAAGGGCAUCAAUACCUGGAGCAAUCAAGAAAUACAAAACUAGUAGUUCUAGAACUAAAUCACAACUCACAUAAACUCUGCUAUCUAUUCAAUCCUUAUCUCAGGGCAGGGGGCGAGGCAGGGCAGGGGCCGCGCUGUGCGCGCCUGCAAGGCUACGCACUGUCGCUGCUACUAGCGGGCGGAGGGCUGGGUGCUGCUGGGGCUGGGAGCUGGUGGCUGGCUGCCGAGUGCGUCUGCACGGGAGGAGGGAUGAAGGAGCCGACUCUACUGGACGAGAUGCGAGGGCGGACCGGUGCCACUGCCGCAGCCAUCCUUGUGGCCACUGCCGCCUCCGACGACACCGAUCAGGCCUCUCCCGCCAUGGCUACACCAACACAAAAGCGCGCGAGGGCGAAAAUGGGCGCCGGAAACAGGUGAUAUGCGCGACAGCGAAGGGAUUGGGGGAUUUCACCUCGCGCAAAUUUGCGGGAUGAAUCGGCUCGGAUGCGUGACGGCGAAAAUAUGGGGGAAGUUUGGACGAGCUGUUGGAGGAGGGAGAACGAGCUUUCUCCCUAAAAAAGGUUUUUCGGGGUCUUUUAGCAUCGUUCUUGGAGAUGCUCUUAUACUGUGGAGUACCUUUUUUUUCUUUUGCUGUUAGAUCAGGUCAACUUUGCAUGUGCUAUCUAAUUGUCAGCACAUUUACUUUUUACUUUUAUUGUCUAUAAUUUGAAGGCUCUUUUCCUCCCCAGAUUGGGUCAACUGAAUGGGUUGAAGACAACCUUGAAGAUCCGCAUUGCAAAGUUGUAGCUUACUUGAAUGUUGAUUGUUCAGUGCAAGGCGUGGGAUUUUUUUUCCUGGCUCUACUCCCCAGUUGGACAAACUCUUAGUUGUGAUGGAAUUUCGUUUUUUGCAGGAGGGUGUGUGUUUAUUUCCUGACAUUGUUGAUCUUUCUAGAACUUUCUCGAAGGUGUGCCUUAAUUAUCAUAAGUAAUUAUGUCUGUCUUUAGAUUUAUUCCUUAGAAUAAUGAUGUAGCUGAGUUUUUUUCUCGAACACGCAGGAGAGCUGCGUAUCAUUUCAUUAAAAGAUGGAUGAUAAUUACAAUGACCUAAACACCACUCACACAAACACACACACAAACAACACUAGUAAUAAUAACCACCUUCUAACCGGGGUUGAACACAAAAGCUAGGUCCGAAAGACGGGUCAAGCCUUUGGCCCCCGCAAAACACCACAUAUUGAACUCAUCACUGGUUGAGGUAAGCAAUCUAGCUAUAGAAGGCUGAGCACCAUUGAAAACACAGUCAUUACGGUGUCUCCAGAUAGUCCAAGCCCCAAGAAUCACCAAAGAGUUAAGGCCAUCUCUAAGGUCCUUAGGAGUAACCUCAGCCGAUCUACUCCACCAAGCUUCAAAAUUGAUAUCUUCCGUCCCGGGGGAGAGUGCGGACAGGCCGACCCGCUGGAGAAGAAGAUACCAAAAUUGCCUCGCGAGGACACAAGAAACAAGCAAGUGAUGAAUAGACUCUCCUUCCUGGUCACAUAAGGGGCAAGAACUAGGAUGGGGAAGACCCCUCUUAGCGAGCCGGUCAGCCGUCCAACAUUUAUUAUGUAGGACCAACCAGAGGAAAAACUGACACUUCGGCGGCGCCCAGGUGCUCCACACUCUCUCAAAGCCCGCCAUGGAGGUAGAACCACAGAACAUUAUCUCAUAAGCAGAUUUGGCCGAAUAGAUACCAUUGGAAGAGAACCUCCAAUAAUGUUUAUCUGGAACUCCCGGUUGAAGAUCAACAUCAGCCACAACAUCUGCCAGCAAAAUGAAGUCAGCAAUGACCUCCCAAGAUACCACUCCCCUUAAAUCCCCAAUCCAUGAUGAGCUACACAGAGCAUCAGCCACUGUCCUUCGCUUCACCAGCCUUUUAGGAACCAAACUAAAAACAUGAGGGGCCAAGUCUGCAAUCCUCUGACCCAGGAUCCAUCUGUCAUGCCAAAAAAGAGUGGACUGCCCAUCACCCACUAUGGAGGCCAUUGCCAAAGAGCACAAGCUAUCCAAGAACCGGUUUGAAUGGAAUGGCAAAUCAGUCCAUUGUUUCGAAAAUAUUAUAGCACGUGGAUUCAAGUAUUUGUAAAGCAUCACAUGAGCUGAAAAUAUUGUUUUAUAUCUCAACAAUUGUGUACAAUGUACAAAAUCUACAUGUUUGCUUUGAUUCAUUCUCUUUUGUUAUUAUUAUAAAGAUGAUUUACUUAUUUAAUGUUUCUCCAUUUUCAGCUACAGCAGUUGGUUGAGCACAUUUCAGUAACAGAUAAUGCUAACAUACCUGUCUGUUUUUCUUAACAAAUGAUAAUCUCAUGCCACUAAAACACAUGAAAAUACCUGUCUAUUUUUUUCAUCUGUAUCAUCUUUUUUCGGGGUUAAUAAUAUCGAUUUUGCUUGGUUUGCGAACAUGGAAGAGGUAUGAUUGAUAUAGGCAUAUAGAAACAGUAAUAUCUAUUCAUAUGUGGACAAAAUUUGGUAGAAUUAUCUGAAUGUGUAACCGGUCGUAGUAGUAGGGUAGUUCAGUAUAUAAAUAUAGCAGGAGCAAUUUGAGUAUCUGAACAACACAACAAUAACGAUGCUAUAUCAGUGCAUGAGGUGGCUAACAAAAAAGUGGUGGAACAAUAAUCUGUAUACACUUUCUCUUAAUUUGAGACACAUUUCAUGUCCAUUGUUUGAAGCAGUCCAUUUGUGACGUCUUCAUUUUGGCACUGCCAGUUUUUUUGUCUGUAUAUAAUCGGAACAGUAAGCCUAAAAUAGGUUUCGGUUGCUUGGAUUUGGAUGGGAUAUCGAACCUUCACAUUGCAUUCAAUGAGCAUCACUUGAUCAAAGUGCUCAUCUUAAGAUUAUUUUUCUUUUCUUUUUCUGUUAGUGUUACCUUAUCGCGAAGUUAUCUUGAGUUAAUAUGUUGUAACGUGGUGUCAAGGGCGUUAACCCCUCGAGCAGCUGGACCGCGGCUAUGUAACUCGUACCCGCUGUCCGUCUUCUCCGGCGAGGUAAUCCUCUGCCGUAGGCUUUAGAGAGAGUGUAGGGAGAUGGGAGAUAAAGCUGAUGUAUUUCUUAUUCCUUUCACUGCCUCAUGGUUCCAUAUAAAUAGGCCACUGGCCCGACCAACUAGGUAACUUCUAAUUUAGGAAAUGACUUAUUUGGAAACCCUAAUUUAGGAAAUGACUUAUUUGGAAACCAACUCCCCUCUAAUUAAGGCCUAUCAAUUUGGCCACUAAUCUAGCCACUUUCCUUGGAUGGACCUUCCUUGGUAGUGCUGCUGCUGGCACCUUCCUUAAACGCCCUAGCCUCAGCCCUCCUGGCGUCGCGGGCCCGCGUGUAGGUGCGGCCCCACAUGACAUCUCUCCCCCCUCGAGGUCCAGCUCGUCCUCGAGCUGAAAAUCUGGGUAUGUAGCGCGAAACUUGUCGAGGUCCUCCCAGGUCGCCGAAGUGUCUGGUUCGCCCCUCCACUGGACCAGCACCUGUUGAACACCCCGUGCCAGGCGAGCGCGUUCCACCCGAGCCGGCUCUGGAACAAUCGCCCCAUGAUGGAUGUCGGGUAGGGGCGGUGGGGCGGAUGGAGGUGCCCCUACAAACUUCUUCAGGGUGCCCACGUGGAAGACGUCAUGAAUGCGGGCCUGUGGUGGUAGCUCCAGGCGAACGGCGACAUUUGUGAUGAGCUCGAUGACGCGGUAGGGCCCGAGGAAGCGGGGCUUUAGUUUGCCCGAUGUCUGUUGUGGCAGUGAGGACGGAGCUCGCUGGCGAAGUCGAAGGAGUGCCCAGUCGCCGACUGCAUAUGUCACUGGCCGGUGUUGCUUGUCGUAGUGUCGUUUCUGCACCGCUUGGGCCUGCUCGAGGCGAUAGCGCACAUCGGCCAGGAAUGCCUCGCGUUCCUCCAUGUUGCGUGCGACCGCAUCCACCCUUGUUUCACCAGGCUCAUAAGAGCGGAUGGAGGGCGGGUCACGACCAUACACCACCCGGAAUGGCGUCUCCCGGAGCGAGGACUGGUAUGUCAUGUUGUACACGUAUUCGGCCCACGGCAGCCAGCGAAGCCAUUGUCGAGGACGGUCGCCUGUGAAACAGCGGAGGUACAUAAUGAUGACGCGGUUGGCCGCCUCCGUCUGGCCGUCGGAAUGUGGGUGGAAGGCGGACGACAUGUGCAGCUUAGUGCCCAUGAGCCGCAUGAGCUCACGCCAGAACGUCGAGGUGAACACCGGGUCGCGGUCGGACACCAUGGAUUGCGGCACACCAUGGAGGCGUACAAUGUCGGCGAAGAAGGCCUGCGCCACCGACUCGGCGGUGUAUGGGUGGCCGAGGGCGAUGAAGUGGCAAUACUUGCUGAAGCGGUCGACGACGGAGAGGAUCACCGACUUCCCGUUGACACGGGGAAGUGCUUCAAUGAAGUCGAGACCGAUGUCUGCCCAAACGACGGUGGGAAUCGGUAGUGGCAUGAGGAGACCUGUCGGGUGAAGAUGCUCCGACUUGUACCGCUGACAAGUGGGACAUGCCCGGACGAAGUCCUGCACCAGACUCCGCAUGUUGGGAAAAUGGAAGUCACGACGGAGGCGGUGUAGUGUGCGCUGGACGCCCUCAUGUCCAUCAUUAUGGACAGCCGCCACAAUCUCCUGCAGAAGUGGCGAGGCCGGUGGGAUGUAUAGGCGCCUGUCAUAGAGAACCAUGUCGUCGACCACCGCCCAUGGAUCAGUGCGUGUGCCCACCCUGACUUCGUCGUGGAUGGCAGCCAGAGCGGGCUCAGUAGCCUGGGCGUGUCGGAGGCGGCUGAUGAAGUCGAAGCGGGGAGCUGAGAUUGCCUGGAGAGUCCCCGUGCCGUCCUCUUCGGUGUCGCGGCGUGAGAGCGCGUCGGCCACCGUGUUCGUUGCUCCUGACUUGUACUCGACGGAGAAGUCGAACCCGAGUAGAGAUGGCAAUGGGUACCCGCGACCCGAUACCCGAUGGGUAUUUACUCCAUUAGGGUAUAUAUGUGGGCUAAAUAUUCUACCCGUGGGUCUGUUAUUGGGCAAAAAUCUUCACCCAAUGGGUAAACGGGUAUUAGAACGUUCCGCCUUCACCCAUACCCGUUAACCCGUGGGUAUAAAAUACCCAAUAUAAACUUAUCUGAAGCAUGAACUUGGACUUCAGUCAUCCAACUUUUUUACUAUUUAACAACAAUUUAAUGACUAUGUAAUGGAACAUGUAAUGUGCUAUGUAGUACUAUCAUAGUGUUACUACUUUAUCCAAUUAUCUUUGGUGUGUUGAAUGGAUGGUUAAAUGAUGCUAGAAAAUUUUGUAAUGGUAUUUAUAUGGAUAUACUUGCCAUUUGUAUAGUAUAAUAUUUUGAUAGUUGUUUAAUUUUUGUGGGUACGGGUGACCCGAUGGGUAACCCAUACCCACAUGGGUAUGGGUAUGGGGGUAAAUCCAUACCCGCCAGCGUAUAUGGGUAACCCGGUGGGGUUAUUUUUGUGUCGUGGGUAUGGGUAUGGGGUAGUAAUACCCGGUGGGUAUUUACCCAUUGCCAUCUCUAAACCCGAGGAGCUUACCCACCCAAUGAUGCUGUGGAAUGGUCGCCAGGCGCUGAUCGAGGAGGUACUUGAGGCUGUAGUGGUCUGUCUUGACGACGAAGCGUCGCCCCCAUAGGUACGGCCUCCAAUGGCGUACGGCAAGCACGAGCCCGAUGAGUUCGCGCUCAUAGGCCGCUAGGGAGCGAUGGCGGGGCGCCACCGGUCGACUGAAGAAGGCGAGCGGAUGAGCCUCCUGUAUGAGCACCGCCCCGAAGCCAUAGGUGGACGCGUCGCACUCCACGAUGAAGGGCUUGGUGAAGUCCGGUAAUGUCAACACCGGUGCUGUCGUCACUGCCCUUUUGAGGGCACGAAAAGCGGUGCUGGCCUCGUCGGACCACACGAACCCCUCUUUCUUCAGGAGUGCUGUGAGGGGUGCUGCAAUGGCGCCGUAGUUGUGGACGAACUUGCGAUAGUAGCCUGCCAGACCGAGGAAGCCCCGCACGGCGCGCGCCGAACGAGGUUGGGGCCAGUCGUGGAUGGCCUGGACCUUCGCGGGAUCCAUAGCGACACCAGCCGCUGAAAUGACGUGGCCGAGGUAGGCGACGGAGUCAACACCAAAGGAGCACUUGGACCUCUUGACAAAGAGUCGGUGCUGGCGCAGGGUGUUGAGGACGACGCGGAGGUGCCGGAGGUGGUCCGCCCAUGAGGUGCUGUAUAUCAAGAUGUCGUCAAAGAAGACAAGCACAAACCGGCGGAGGUAGGUGCGCAGGACGUCAUUCAUCAAAGCCUGGAAUGUGGCUGGGGCGUUGCACAGCCCGAACGACAUCACCAGGAACUCGUAGAGGCCGUCGUGGGUGCGGAACGCCGUUUUAUGGACGUCCUCCUGCCGCAUCCGCACUUGGUGAUACCCCGCCAUGGAGCUCGUCGAGGAGCUCGUCGACGACCGGAAUCGGAAACGCGUCUUUGACAGUGAGCGCGUUCAACGCGCGGUAGUCGACGCAGAAGCGCCACGACCCGUCCAGCUUCUUGACAAGGAUGACCGGGGAAGAGAACGCCGAGUCACUGCGGCGGACGAUGCCCUGGUCGAUCAUGGCGGCGCACUGCCGCUCAAGUUCGUCCUUGUGCGCCGCCGGGUACCUGUACGGUCGCACCGCCACCGGGGAGGAGCCUGGCUUGAGGACGAUGUGGUGCUCGCGGCCGCGUGCUGGAGGUAGUCCGCUCGGCUCGGUGAAGACAUCGGCGAAGGCGUGUAGCAGCCCGUCGAUGAGGGUGUCGUCGGUUGUGGCGGCUAGGAGAGUCGGCGUGGAUGGAGGUGCUACACCGCGCCAGCAGACGUCCCGACCCUCCCACUGGAAUGCCAUGGUUCGGGCGGUGAAGUCCCAUACAAUGGGCCCGAGCGUGGCCAUCCAGUGCGUGCCGAGGACGACGUCGUAUCCCGCUAAGGGCAUUACGAAGAGGUCGACGCCGAAUACCAUGCCGCCCACGUCGAUCGGAGCGUUGCGAAGAACGCCCGGGCAGGCCACACGCUCCCCAUUGGCCACCGUUGCCGUGAGUCGAGGCCGCGGCUGGAUGGUCAGCCCGGAGCGUCGCGCAGCCGUUUCCCCGAUGAAGCUGUGUGUGGAGCCUGUGUCGAUGAGCGCGACGAAAGUAGCGGCGCCGACGAUCACCUGCAGUUGUACCGUAUUGCCGACGAGUACCCCUGCGACGGCGUGAAGGGAGAACACCGGUGUCUCCGUGUCGGGGUCCUCCCCUGUGGCGGACUCGUCGGCGGUGUCCAACUCGACGCCGUUGAUGUAGAAGAUCCGCGUACAGACGCGGUUGUGCCCCCGUGUGUAGCGCUCGUUGCAGUUGAAGCAGAGGCCUUGCCGACGGCGCUCCUCUUGCUCCUGCAUGGAUAGGCGUUUGCGCCCAUCUGCCAUGACCGCGGGCGUGGCUGCCUUCUCAGCCGGCGGGGCAGGCAGAGCUAGACGCGGUGCAGGGGUUGGCAGCAGACCACGGGUGGCGCCCUUGGGAGGCGGCGAUGUAUAUUGUUCCCGAAGCUCCAGCUGGCGCGCCAGGCUCAUGGCAGCCGCCAAGGACUGCGGGUUGUGUACCUGGACGUCAAGGCUGAGCGGGGGACGGAGACCCCCCGUGAACAGUUGGACCCGUUGUGCCUCGUCGAGGGGUCCUGCAUGUGGAAGGAGCGCCUGGAAGCGGUCCUGAUAGUCCGCGACAGACCCCGUGCGGCGGCAAUCAGCCAGCUCGAAGAGAGGCGCAGCGCGGAGAGGAGGACCGUAGCGCAGAUUGAGCAACUUCUUGAACCUGCGCCACGAUGGAGCACCCUCGUCCGUCUGGACCUGGAUAUACCACAUCUGCGCCCCGUGCUCCAAGUUGUAGGAUGCCAUCCAGACCUUCUCCUCCUCCAUGAUGCGCUGCUGAUGGAAGUAGGAUUCGCAGCGGUUGAUGAAGAUGAGAGGAUCGGUUUUACCAUCGUACCGGGGAAAGUCCAGCUUUUGGAACCUCGGUGGCCGGUCCCCAUGGUGCUCGCCGUAGCCGAUCUUGUGGCCGGAGGCGGACGUGCGGUCGGCUGUGAGGCUGGCGAUGGCUUGGGCGUUGGCCGCGACGGACGCCUGCAGGGACUUGAGAGCCUCGACAAAGGCCUUGAAGUCGUUGGAAUCGCCCAUGGCUGGAACGCAAGACGCCACAGAGGACGUCGGUGAUGUUGGUGCUGCGGCUGGCGUAGUGGUGGACUGGGAAGAGGAUCGCCGGGAUCGUGAUACCAGGUUGUCAAGGGCGUUAACCCCUCGAGCAGCUGGACCGCGGCUACGUAACUCGUACCCGCUGUCCGUCUUCUCCGGCGAGGUAAUCCUCUGCCGUAGGCUUUAGAGAGAGUGUAGGGAGAUGGGAGAUAAAGCUGAUGUAUUUCUUAUUCCUUUCACUGCCUCAUGGUUCCAUAUAAAUAGGCCACUGGCCCGACCAACUAGGUAACUUCUAAUUUAGGAAAUGACUUAUUUGGAAACCCUAAUUUAGGAAAUGACUUAUUUGGAAACCAACUCCCCUCUAAUUAAGGCCUAUCAAUUUGGCCACUAAUCUAGCCACUUUCCUUGGAUGGACCUUCCUUGGUAGUGCUGCUGCUGGCGCCUUCCUUAAACGCCCUAGCCUCAGCCCUCCUGGCGUCGCGGGCCCGCGUGUAGGUGCGGCCCCACAUGACACGUGGUUCCCUCUCCAAAGUUCCGUGUGACAAAAAAAUGGCAUUUUUCUCAGUAUUCAUUUUCAAUUUUAGAAUAGAUUAGUAUUGUAGAUAAAAGAUGAUACUCUCUUUGUUCUUUUUUAUUUGUCGCAAUUUAGUUCGAAAAUAAACUAGUGGUCGACAAGUAUUCGAGAAUGGAGGUAGUACUACUAUUCAUCAACAGUACUAAUGCGGUUCUUUAUCCAAAGUUUCGUGAGAAAGAAAUGACAUUUUUUUCUUCAGUAUUCAUUUUAAAUUUUAGAAUUGAUUAGUGUUGCAGAGAAAAGAUAAUACUACUCUUCAUCAGUACUUAGUCAACAUUUAUUCGUCAACUGCAGUCCACACACAGAUCAGCGAUGGUUCUAAUAGCAUGUUAUAGUAUUUACUGCACACAUCUAACCAACCACGAGAACUAACAACGGAUUAAGAGUGUGUGCAGAUAGUGGAUUAAAAGGGGGUGCGGUAAAUGUGAGGAGGUUUUGAGAGAAAUAAAUGGUUUGGUGAACAAUUUAACCUAUUAGAAACCGAUAUAUAGGAAUCUAACUCAGAUAGAGUACUGGUGUACCUGUUCCAGGCUUGGAUGACUUUGCGGAGCUGUCGGAGGCCGUCGUCGCGCCCGCAAGGACGGAGCGAGAGAGGCCAAGAGGCGCCGGGUGGUCCACGCAGUUCUAAGCCCUCUAGUGGGGACUGGCGGAGAAGGGUCGUGGCGCCGGCGCCGGCGCCGCAAUAGAAGGCUCUGCGUUCAGGCGGAGGACGCAGGCGGGAUUCUAAUAUCUUGCAGAUGCGAGGCGAGGCGAGGAAUUGGUGGCAGUCGGUGCUGCGCCCGAAAGCUCCG